AUUGAACGCUGGCGGCAUGCCUUACACAUGCAAGUCGAACGGUAACGCGGGGCAACCUGGCGACGAGUGGCGAACGGGUGAGUAAUACAUCGGAACGUGCCCAGUAGUGGGGGAUAGCCCGGCGAAAGCCGGAUUAAUACCGCAUACGACCUACGGGUGAAAGCGGGGGAUCGUAAGACCUCGCGCUAUUGGAGCGGCCGAUGUCAGAUUAGCUGGUUGGUGGGGUAAAAGCCUACCAAGGCGACGAUCUGUAGCUGGUCUGAGAGGACGACCAGCCACACUGGGACUGGGACACGGCCCAGACUCAUACGGGAGUCAGCAGUGGGGAAUUUUGGACAAUGGGGGCAACCCUGAUCCAGCCAUGCCGCGUGCGGGAAGAAGGCCUUCGGGUUGUAAACCGCUUUUGUCGGGGAAGAAACGGUCUGCGCUAAUACCGCAGACUAAUGACGGUACCCGAAGAAUAAGCACCGGCUAACUACGUGCCAGCAGCCGCAGUAAAAC
rnacentral:rRNA from 1 species